rnacentral:rRNA from 1 species
GUCUAUGGUCAUGCAACCCUGAAUGCGCUUAAAUUCGUCUGAUCUUGGAAGCUAAGCAGGGUCUGGCCUGGUUAGUUCUUGGAUGGGAGACCACCUAGGAAGACCAGGUGCUGUAGACA